UAAACUAGGAUUAGAUACCCUAUUAUUUUAAUCGUAAAGAAAUGUCUUGGGUARUAGUAGUUAUAAUCUUUAAACCURGAGGAUUUGGCGGUGUUUUAUUCUAUUUAGAGGAAUUUGCCCUAUAAUCGAUAAUCCGCGUUUUAUCUAACUUUUAUUUGUAUUCAGUUUGUAUACCGCCGUUAUAAGUUUAUUUUUUUAGAAUAUUUACUUAACAAUUUUAUUUAAUAUUUCAGGUCAAGGUGCAGCUUAUAUAAGAGAUUGAGGUGAAUUACAAUAUUAUAUAAUAUAUGGAUAUAUGCUUUAAAAUUUUAUUGAAGGUGGAUUUAAUAGUAAUUUUAUUAAUAAUAUUAACUUGAUUUUUGUUCUAAGACAAGUACACAUCG
rnacentral:rRNA from 1 species